GACGAACGCUGGCGGCGUGCUUAACACAUGCAAGUCGAACGAUGAAGCCGGAGCUUGCUCUGGUGAAUUAGUGGCGAACGGGUGAGUAACACGUGAGUAACCUGCCCUUGACUCUAGGAUAACUGCGGGAAACUGUAGCUAAUACCGGAUACGACCCUCGGAGGCAUCUCCUGGGGGUGGAAAGAAUUUCGGUCAAGGAUGGACUCGCGGCCUAUCAGCUAGUUGGUGAGGUAAAGGCUCACCAAGGCGAGGACGGGUAGCCGGCCUGAGAGGGUGACCGGCCACACUGGGACUGAGACACGGCCCAGACGCCUACGGGAGGCAGCAGUGGGGAAUAUUGCACAAUGGGCGCAAGCCUGAUGCAGCAACGCCGCGUGAGGGAUGACGGCCUUCGGGUUGUAAACCUCUUUUAGCAGGGAAGAAGCGAAAGUGACGGUACCUGCAGAAAAAGCACCGGCUAACUACGUGCCAGCCGCCGCGGUAA
rnacentral:rRNA from 1 species